GUGCCAGCAGCCGCGGUAAUACGUAGGGGGCAAGCGUUGUCCGGAUUCACUGGGUGUAAAGGGUGCUCAGGCGGACUUGUAAGUCAGAGGUGAAACUCCGAAGCUUAACUUCGGAACUGCCUUUGAUACUGCAAGUCUCGAGUACGGGAGAGGGUAAUGGAAUAACAGGUGUAGCAGUGAAAUGCGUAGAUAUCUGUUAGAACACCAAUGGCGAAGGCAGUUGCCUGGCCCGUUACUGACGCUAAAGCACGAAAGUGUGGGUAGCAAACAGGAUUAGAUACCCCCGUAGUCC
rnacentral:rRNA from 1 species